rnacentral:rRNA from 1 species
GAGAAGUAUGCGGAAUGCGUGGUGUAGCGGUGAAAUGCAUAGAUAUCACGCAGAACCCCGAUUGCGAAGGCAGCAUGCCGGCUUCCUACUGACGCUGAAGCACGAAAGCGUGGGGAUCGAACAGGAUUAGAUACCCUGGUAGUCCACGCGGUAAACGAUGAGCGCUAGGUGUCCGGGGGGAAUGGCCCCUGGGUGCCACAGCGAAAGCGUUAAGCGCUCCACCUGGGGAGUACGCCGGCAACGGUGAAACUCAAAGGAAUUGACGGGGGCCCGCACAAGCGGAGGAACAUGUGGUUUAAUUCGAUGAUACGCGAGGAACCUUACCCGGGCUCAAACGUUGCAGGAAGGGCUUCUGAAAGGAAGCCCGUCUACGGACCUGCAACGAGGUGCUGCAUGGUUGUCGUCAGCUCGUGCCGUGAGGUGUCGGCUUAAGUGCCAUAACGAGCGCAACCCCUACCGCCAGUUGCCAACAGGCAAAGCUGGGGACUCUGGCGGGACUGCCGGCGCAAGCUGCGAGGAAGGCGGGGAUGACGUCAAAUCAGCACGGCCCUUACGUCCGGGGCGACACACGUGUUACAAUGGCAGGUACAGCGGGAAGCCACCUGGCGACAGGGAGCGGAACCCGAAAGCCUGUCUCAGUUCGGAUAGGAGUCUGCAACCCGACUCCAUGAAGCUGGAUUCGCUAGUAAUCGCGCAUCAGCCACGGCGCGGUGAAUACGUUCCCGGGCCUUGUACUCACCGCCCGUCAAG